rnacentral:rRNA from 1 species
UCCUACGGGGGGCAGCAGUGAGGAAUAUUGGUCAAUGGGCGCGAGCCUGAACCAGCCAAGUCGCGUGAGGGAUGACGGCCCUACGGGUUGUAAACCUCUUUUGCCGGGGAGCAACGGGCGCCACGUGUGGCGCCACUGCGAGUACCCGGAGAAAAAGCAUCGGCUAACUCCGUGCCAGCAGCCGCGGUAAUACGGAGGAUGCGAGCGUUAUCCGGAUUUAUUGGGUUUAAAGGGUGCGUAGGCGGAUCGUUA